rnacentral:rRNA from 1 species
GAUGAACGCUAGCGGCAGGCCUAACACAUGCAAGUCGAGGGGUAGCAGGAUUAAGCUUGCUUAAUUGCUGACGACCGGCGCACGGGUGCGUAACGCGUAUGCAACCUACCUUCAUCUGGGGGAUAGCCCGGAGAAAUCCGGAUUAAUACCGCAUAAAAUCACAGGAUGGCAUUAUCCAAUGAUCAAACAUUUAUGGGAUGGAGAUGGGCAUGCGUGUCAUUAGCUAGUUGGCGGGGUAACGGCCCACCAAGGCGACGAUGACUAGGGGAUCUGGGAGGAUGGCCCCCCACACUGGUACUGAGACACGGACCAGACUCCUACGGGAGGCAGCAGUAAGGAAUAUUGGUCAAUGGAGGCAACUCUGAACCAGCCAUGCCGCGUGCAGGAAGACUGCCCUAUGGGUUGUAAACUGCUUUUAUUCGGGAAUAAACCUUAUUACGUGUAAUAAGCUGAAUGUACCGAAGGAAUAAGGAUCGGCUAACUCCGUGCCAGCAGCCGCGGUAA